AUGAUUUAUUCACUGAUGUGGCAUUCUUAUUCAUUCUUUGGGAAAGAGGAACAUCAUCAUCAUCAUCGUCCUCCUCCGCAACCUUCAGUUCAGAUUUCACCGAUGUCUGUUUAACAUUAAUCGAUGGAGCUGGAUCUGAGAGUUUUGAUUUCUUAACAGAAGAAUGCAAGGAAUCAGUCUUAUCUAGUGGUCUCUUAACAGGCAGUGUAGACGGCCUAAUACCAACAUUGGAGCCAUGUUGCUGUCCUUUCUGAACAUUUGAAAGUGGUUUCUUCUGAUCAGAGCCACCAUUGUUAUUACUAGAUUUUCCCAAAUUAUUAUUAUUCUGUAGCCGCCUUGCUGACAAAGGAAUAUCAUCAUCAGAGUCUUCUUGAGAUUUCUUGACAACAACAGGAGAGUUGUUUUCUUAGCACGGUCACUGUUCAUCUUCAACCUAGCACUCAAUGGUAUAUUAUCCAUCU
rnacentral:lncRNA from 1 species